rnacentral:tRNA from 1 species
GGGGAUUUAGCUCAGCGGCAUAAGCACCUGCCUUGCAAGCAGGCAGUCGUGAGUUCGAUCUAUAAUACCAA